rnacentral:tRNA from 46 species
GCGGAUGUAGCUCAGCUGGAUAGAGUACCUGGCUACGAACCAGGCGGUCGGAGGUUCGACUCCUCCCAUCCGCACCA